CUUGUUUAUGUGUAGGUUAUGCACUCCAUGACUUCACGUUUCGUUUGUUCUGUAUUGUUUUUGAUCUAUCCACUGCCUUCACCACUGAACCAUCAAAUCCUCCUCUCCAACCUCAGGGCUGAGCGUCUCAGGCUCUGCACACUCUUGGAUUGCAUCCUACCUGUCAGGUAGCUCCUACCAGUGUUCUGAAGAUUGAAAAUGUUUUCAAAAAAGACCGUUAACACGGAUGUCAAGUACUUCAAGAAAGAGAGAAUACAAUAGAAUCUGGACUAAAUUGUCAAGAGAGAAACCACCCUUAAGAGAAAAAGGGUAGAGAAGGAAGACAAUGACCAGUCUGACACUAAGAGUGAAGAUACCAGUCCUGCUGAAUCUGAGAGUAAAAUUGAGUCAGAUAGUGAAGUUGAGGCAGUCGAAGGUACUCCUCCAAGACUUCCAACACACGCUGAGGAAGAGUCAGAUGGUGAACUUGAGGCAGUAGGUUAUACUCCUCCAAGACUUCAGUCUCCUUCAGAGACUGAAGCCAAUGCUGGUUGUGCAAUUCAGGAGACAACUGAUUCGGACGAUGUUGAAAAAUAUUCUACCUUCAGAGAGGAC
rnacentral:lncRNA from 1 species